GAGGCAGUUAUAGAUGCCCUAACAAAACUUCGUAAGAAGAUAUUGCGAGAAAUAGUUGAGGAUCGAACUCUAUCUCAAAAUAAAAAUAGAUGUUUUACUACCAGUCACAAGCUUUAUGUUAGGUGUAGUACUCAUACAGGAACUUAUGAGCAAGAAUUGCUCUAUCAAUCACCAUCUACAUUAGAUAUAUCUUCUGAAACUUUUUUCGAAUCCAAAAGUUCAGUACCUUCCUACAAAUUAGUGAAUUAG
rnacentral:rRNA from 1 species